CUGACCUACGGGGGGCUGCAGUAGGGAAUCUUCCACAAUGGGCGCAAGCCUGAUGGAGCAACACCGCGUGAGUGAAGAAGGGUUUCGGCUCGUAAAGCUCUGUUGUUGGAGAAGAACGUGCGUGAGAGUAACUGUUCACGCAGUGACGGUAUCCAACCAGAAAGUCACGGCUAACUACGUGCCAGCAGCCGCGGUAAUACGUAGGUGGCAAGCGUUGUCCGGAAUUACUGGGUGUAAAGGGAGCGCAGGCGGGAAUGCAAGUUGGGAGUGAAAUCUACGGGCUCAACCCGUAAACUGCUCUCAAAACUGUAUUUCUUGAGUAGUGCAGAGGUAGGCGGAAUUCCCGGUGUAGCGGUGGAAUGCGUAGAUAUCGGGAGGAACACCAGUGGCGAAGGCGGCCUACUGGGCACCAACUGACGCUGAGGCUCGAAAGUGUGGGUAUCAAACAGGAUUAGAUACCCGAGUAGUCGUUCGAC
rnacentral:rRNA from 1 species